rnacentral:rRNA from 1 species
GAUAAACGCUGGCGGCGUGCAUGAGACAUGCAAGUCGAACGGACACUUGGGGCUUGCUCCAAGUGUUAGUGGCGGACGGCUGAGUAACGCGUAGGUGACCUGCCCCGGAGUGGGGGAUAA